rnacentral:rRNA from 1 species
CCUACGGGUGGCAGCAGUGAGGAAUAUUGGUCAAUGGACGAGAGUCUGAACCAGCCAAGUAGCGUGAAGGAUGACUGCCCUAUGGGUUGUAAACUUCUUUUAUAUGGGAAUAAAAUGUUCCACGUGUGGGAUUUUGUAUGUACCAUAUGAAUAAGGAUCGGCUAACUCCGUGCCAGCAGCCGCGGUAAUACGGAGGAUCCGAGCGUUAUCCGGAUUUAUUGGGUUUAAAGGGAGCGUAGGUGGAUUGUUAAGUCAGUUGUGAAAGUUUGCGGCUCAACCGUAAAAUUGCAGUUGAAACUGGCAGGGUAGAGGACAGGAGAAGGAGGAGGAAUGAGUGGGGGAGCGGGGAAAG